rnacentral:rRNA from 1 species
GACAGAGGAGCCAAGCGUUGUCCGGACUGACUGGGCGUAAAGCGCCCGCAGGCGGCCGUGCACGUGGGGUGUGAAAGCUCGCGGCUUAACUGCGAGAGGCCAUCCCAUACGGCGCGGCUCGAGCCGUCCAGAGGCCGGUGGAAUUGCCGGUGUAGUGGUGAAAUGCGUAGAGAUCGGCAGGAACACCAGUGGCGAAGGCGGCCAUCUGGCUCAACAUUGACGCUGAGGCACGAAAGCGUGGGGAGCAAACAGG